GACGAACGCUGGCGGCGUGCUUAACACAUGCAAGUCGAACGGAAAGGCCCUGCUUUUGUGGGGUGCUCGAGUUGCGAACGGGUGAGUAACACGUGAGUAACCUGCCCUUGACUUUGGGAUAACUUCAGGAAACUGGGGCUAAUACCGGAUAGGAGCUCCUGCUGCAUGGUGGGGGUUGGAAAGUUUCGGCGGUUGGGGAUGGACUCGCGGCUUAUCAGCUUGUUGGUGGGGUAGUGGAUUACCAAGGCUUUGACGGGUAGCCGGGCUGAGAGGAUAGCCGGACACGUUAGGACGGGAAUGCGGCACAGACUCCAACGGGAGGCAGCAGUGGAGUAUAGUGUACAGUGGGAGGAAGCCUAGUGCAGCAACGCCGCGUGCGGGAUGACGGCCAGCGGGUUGUAAACCGCAUUCGCUUGUGACGAAGCGUGAGUGACGGUAAUGGGUGAAGAAGCACCGGCUAACUACGUG
rnacentral:rRNA from 1 species